AAAAAAUACACCUCUCCUGUAUUGAAAACCAGCGAGUUCAGAGGCGGGCAUUGUGAUGCUUAAUUCCAACUCUCCAGGCUAAAGGGCCAGCAACUCCCACCGAAGCCUUGCAACGGAAGAAGCAUGCUACCAUUGUGGCUGCUGCUACUAUUGCUACCGAGGCUGCUUUGCCCUCAUUGAGCCGGCUGCCGCUGCGUUACUGGGAGAGACUGUGCCGCUGCGACAGGGGAAGACGAGGCUAGGAGCUGGAGGAGGCUCACUGAGCAUGCGCCGGCGGAGCCCACUGACUACGGAGCCUCAGUCAAGGUACCCAGGAAAUAAAUAAAUAAAUGCAUGCAUGCAUGGAAAUGCUAGCAAAUAGAAAGAAGACGAUCUGGGUGAGGGGGGCUCUCCGGCACCAACAGAUAUUUUGAUGGCAUGACAAAUCAGGAGGAGGAAAAGAGGAUGUACUAUGUGACUAGACACCAGAUCAGUUCUGUUUGUGGAAUACAUUCUCAAUAAGAUGUAUGGAUCUAUUUUCCCCUUGUUCAUAUAUAUAGAUCAUGAGACUUGACUGAGGCAAUAUUCAUAUCAUCCCUCCAUCUAUGGCGAACUACAGCCAUGCAGCUGACAACAUUUUACAAAAUCUCUCCCCUUUAACAGCAUUUUUGAAAUUGACUUCGUUGGGUUUCAUAAUAGGAGUCAGUGUGGUGGGUAACCUUCUGAUCUCCAUUUUGCUAGUCAAAGAUAAGACCUUGCAUAGAGCUCCGUACUACUUCCUGUUGGAUCUUUGCUGCUCAGACAUCCUCAGAUCUGCCAUUUGUUUCCCAUUUGUGUUCACAUCUGUGAAAAAUGGUUCUUCUUGGACGUAUGGGACUCUCACUUGCAAAGUGAUUGCCUUCUUGGGGGUGCUGUCCUGUUUCCACACCGCUUUCAUGCUGUUCUGCAUAAGCGUCACCAGAUACUUAGCUAUUGCCCACCACCGCUUUUAUACAAAACGGCUGACCUUCUGGACUUGUUUAGCAGUUAUUUGUAUGGUGUGGACCCUCUCCGUAGCUAUGGCUUUCCCUCCAGUGUUGGAUGUGGGCACCUAUUCAUUUAUUAGGGAAGAAGACCAAUGCACCUUUCAGCAUCGUUCCUUCAGAGCCAAUGAUUCUCUGGGAUUUAUGCUGCUCCUUGCUCUUAUCCUUCUAGCCACACAGCUUGUCUACCUCAAGCUGAUCUUUUUUGUUCACGAUCGCAGGAAAAUGAAGCCAGUUCAGUUUGUUGCAGCAGUGAGCCAGAACUGGACGUUUCAUGGUCCUGGAGCCAGUGGUCAAGCAGCUGCAAAUUGGCUGGCUGGAUUUGGAAGGGGUCCCACGCCGCCAACCUUGUUGGGGAUCAGGCAAAAUGCCAACACCACAGGCAGGAGAAGGCUACUCGUCCUGGAUGAGUUCAAAAUGGAAAAGCGAAUUAGCAGAAUGUUCUAUAUCAUGACAUUCCUCUUUCUCACCUUGUGGGGUCCCUAUUUGGUAGCCUGCUACUGGAGAGUUUUUGCAAGAGGGCCUGUGGUUCCAGGGGGAUUUCUAACGGCUGCUGUUUGGAUGAGUUUUGCUCAAGCUGGAAUCAAUCCUUUUGUCUGCAUUUUCUCCAACAGGGAGCUGAGGCGCUGUUUCAGCACAACCCUUCUUUACUGCAGAAAAUCCAGGUUACCAAGGGAACCUUACUGUGUUAUAUGAGGGAGCAUCUGUAAAUCUUUAGCCUUGUGAAAACACUACCCUUCUCUGCUAAGCAAUUGUGGCCUGUUGCCAUGUCUCGAGAAGAAAAAUCAAGAAUGGGAUGUCAGCAGUUGUAAGGAUUUGGGCAGCAACAUUCUGCAAUCUUUGCAAUAGCUCAUCUCUAAUCCUAUUUUAGAACCUAAACUUGUUCCUGCUGACCACUCGUGAAGCAACAUCACUGAGGAUUACCAAAGUUCAUGCAAGGAGCCAGUCAUAUUAGCAGCAAUGCAAGUCCAAGACUCAUGCACUAAAGGACGUUUGUGAACUUCUCUGAGCUUGGGGUUGGAGAAGAAUUCCCGGAGCUCAGAAAAACAUCCCACCUCCCAUUUACACAGGCACAGUAAUGCCUGUAUAGUUAAGGAUUGCUAGAUGACUGAAGAAGGAAAUCAAGCCAUCAUCUUGAACCCCGAACCCACUAUCCCAAAUUAUGUAAAUAUCAUUUCUAUGCUACUGUUAGAACUUUUAUAUUGCAUUCAUGUGACUCCCUCUGGUGGUUAAUUGAACAUUUCGAUCGCAAGGGUUGGGAUUUGUUUAUUUGGGUUUUUGUUUGUUUUUUAUAAUCUACACAGUUCACUGCAUGUUUUAAAAAGACAAUGUUUAAAUACAAAUGAAAACUGUAAUAUAUACAAUAAUUAAAAAGCAGAUAUUUGCAUGAUUAGUAGUUGUCCAUUUGCAAACUCUGACAUUCCAGAGAAUGGGACAUAGGAAGCAGGAAAAGUGGACUCUGCAGAUUAUCGUUUUAAAAACAUUUAUUCACUUGUGAGAAAAUUUCAGGGCCGGUCCUAUCAUUAGGCAGGGCAAGAGUUAUAUAUAAAUAAGCAAAUGACCAAGUAUGUAGUUCACAGUUAUAUUUUUUCUACCUUGGAAGGAGGGUGCUAUUUGGACUUCCAUGCCCCAGGCAUGAAAAUGUCAUAGACUGUUUCUGACCAUGAUGAGAAAUCCAUGUUGGUAUAUCUGAACAUUUUGUAAACAUGUCAUGUUUUUAAAUGCCUUUAUCAGAGGCACUCUAGGAAACGCUGUAUUUAUGCAUCGUAACAAAACAGCUAUGUUAUCUUGCCAAAACAGAACACACUCUAACAACUUCAAAGCCCAUUAAGAAUGUCAGGGGGCAAUUCUGACUAAUCAAAAAACAUAGCAUGUACCCAGUUUCCAACAGAGAUGUUUCCUGUGUAUUUUGACGUUGCAGAACAAAAAGGACUUGACCUUUGUGGGGACAGCAGGGUGGGCAAGACUGAGUCUUGAGGGAAAGAACGUUCCAUUCCUUCCUUCCUGGACUUUGCUUCUCAGGUGAGAGCUGACACUCUGCCGUGUAAACAGGCCGGCUGGAAGUGCGCUAAAGAAAAAUAGGCAACUUUUGUAUGUCCUAUAAAAUCAUUAAGAAUAAUGUCAUGUUUUAAAAGACCAUUUCUGAUGAUAGCAAUCAUAAAUGACAGCAUCCCUCAGCUGAGGGUCUGAGAAUGUUACGAUUUAUUACUUAUUUUAGUGUAAACUGGAGGUUGGAUUUCAAUCAUAAGAACAUAGGAAGCUGCCAUGUACUGAGUUAGACCGUUGGUCUAUCUAGCUCAGUAUUGUCUUCACAGACUGGCAGCGGCUUCUCCAAGGUUGCAGGCAGGAAUCUCUCUCAGCCCUAUCUUGGAGAAGCCAGGGAGGGAACUUGAAACCUUCUGCUCUUCCCAGAGUGGCUCCAUCUCAGGGAAGAUAUUCAAGGAAAUACCUUACAGUGCACACAUUUCUAGCCUCCUAUUCAUAUGUAACCAGAGCAGAUCCUGCUUAGCUAAGGGGACAAGUCAUGCUUGCUACCACAAGACCAGCCCUCCUCUCCAGUGAUCCCACAACCAGUGCUUCAGGAUCAUCAGGGAAAUGCAACUUCAAAUAUUUGUCUUAAAUUUCCAGAUCUAUGGAACACUCUGAAUGAAAAAUGAUGUAUUUCUUCAUCAGAGCUGACUGCACACAAGCAGAGAGAGAGAGAGAGAGAGAGAGCUACAGACAAAGCCUUAUUUGGAAAUAGAUAUUUAUUUAAUGCAAUUUAAUGAGUUGGGAUGCAAUACACAGCUGUCAUUCUGAAUAGGUCUAUUUGAGCCUUAGGAUCCAAGCUUCAAGGUUUACAGGCCUUCUACUGAUGUGCUUUAAGGGCCCUUAAAGCCUUGACCUAUAGGUGGUUUGGUUGACUCUCCAUGGCUGAAACUGGCUCAGCUUGUGAGUAAAAUUCAACACAUUUUUGCCCCCUCUUUGCUUUUUUUUUUUUAAACAUUGAUAUGUCAAGAUUUUAUCUAAGUUUACACAUAUCUUUCCCUUUACAUUUUUAAAAGAAUUACCUUGUCAAUCUCUUUCCCCCACAAACAAUGUGAGAUGUUAUCUGUAUAUAUCUAGUCUAAUAUACUUCUGUAUAUACAGGACAUAUUUUUUUCUCUUUUCAAUUUCUGUGAUUUAAUGUAAUCUAUAUUUCUCUGAUGCAUUCCAAAUCCUAGCCGGAAACAUAUUUCCUUUGAAGUUCCUUUUAGGUGGGUGUUCAGCAGACAACUAUUCUUAUGUGGCAUCUGUAAUGGUUGCUUUCACUCUAAUGGUUGUUUUCAGUUAAGUGCAUCUUAAACUUCGUGCUAGCAGCAAACUAUAUUAUUUACCUUUAAUGUCACCCUGUUUAACACAACAAAGCACUGUUUGCCAGGUUCCCUUCACCAAGAGAGGAUGAAAAGCAGGGUGUAGAGACAUAAAAAUGACCUGCAUGUUAUCCUAUGAAUGUUUUCACAUCCCAACAUAUUUUUUUGGUUAUCUAUCAAGUAGCAUUAGCUGAGCACCCUUUAGAAAGAAAUUCAACCAUUUCAAAAACCAAUAACAAAUCUCUCUCAAUAUUUAUGUAGCAUAUUAUUCUGAAUAGAACUGGGAUAGAAUGCUUUUUAAUUUUUUUUAUUUAAUACAAAAAUACAAACAUACAACCCAAUCACAGCAAAGAAAACAAGAAAGAAACAUGAAGAAUCACAACAAAGAAAAGGGAGUCCAUCAUCAUUACAUUUUGAAUUCCAAAAAAGUAUAGAUUAAAAAAUUGCUAUACAAAUUUGUCUACUUUUUCAUUCAUUUCUGAUCUUCUAAAAUAAGUUAAUGAUGUACCUCUCUUCAAAAAGAUCCUUUAUUGUACAAAAAUAAAGUUGGUAUACAUAAAAAUAAAACAUUUUGGUGUACACACCACCAUCACUUAAACAAACAAGCAGAGAUAAAAGGCUUCGUCUGUUGUUCCCCAGCGAUUUAAAUUCUUUAUUAUUAUUAUUAUUAUUAUUAAUUUAUUUACACAGCCAGACAGGUGUUAUUGACUGGUUUGUUUUAUACAGACAUCGAGUCCUUCCCAAGGACUGCUGAAUUUUAUUAUCAGUGUUGUUGCUGUUAAUAUAAAUAUUGUCGCAGAAUAUAGGCUGUUCCCAGUAAAGCUGCUUUUUGUAAUUGGCUGAUGGUGAUUUCUGUGGCCCCUAUGGUGUUGAGGUGCUCUUCAAGUUGUUUUGGAAUUGCACCUAGGGCGCCAGUUACCACUGGGAUUAUUUUGGUCUUCUGCCAUAGCCUUUCAAUUUCAA